rnacentral:rRNA from 1 species
AGUGAACGCUGGCGCUAGGCCUAACACAUGCAAGUCGAACGGCAGCACAGUAAGAGCUUGCUCUUACGGGUGGCGAGUGGCGGACGGGUGAGGAAUACAUCGGAAUCUACUUUUUCGUGGGGGAUAACGUAGGGAAACUUACGCUAAUACCGCAUACGACCUACGGGUGAAAGCAGGGGAUCUUCGGACCUUGCGCGAUUGAAUGAGCCGAUGUCGGAUUAGCUAGUUGGCGGGGUAAAGGCCCACCAAGGCGACGAUCCGUAGCUGGUCUGAGAGGAUGAUCAGCCACACUGGAACUGAGACACGGUCCAGACUCCUACGGGAGGCAGCAGUGGGGAAUAUUGGACAAUGGGCGCAAGCCUGAUCCAGCCAUACCGCGUGGGUGAAGAAGGCCUUCGGGUUGUAAAGCCCUUUUGUUGGGAGAGAAAAGCAGCAGGUUAAUACCCCGCUGUUCUGACGGUACCCAAAGAAUAAGCACCGGCUAACUUCGUG